GCAAAGCUGCUUAGACGUGAGAGAAAAGCACAAUGGAGGCCUAUCAAGUGCUAUCAUUUAAAUCAGACAAAGACAAAAUGUUCACUUUUCAUCACAUGUCCUUGUGCACCAGCCACAUUAG